GGGGCUGUAGCUCAGAUGGAUAGAGCGGCGGUUUCCUAAACCGUAGGUCGGGAGUUCGACUCUCCCCAGCCCCACCA
rnacentral:tRNA from 1 species